rnacentral:rRNA from 1 species
UACGUAGGGGGCAAGCGUUGUCCGGAAUCAUUGGGCGUAAAGCGUGCGCAGGCGGUUUCGUAAGUCUGUCGUGAAAUCCCCGGGCUUAACCUGGGAAUGGCGAUGGAGACUGCGAGGCUAGAGUUUGGCAGAGGGGGGUAGAAUUCCACGUGUAGCAGUGAAAUGCGUAGAGAUGUGGAGGAACACCGAUGGCGAAGGCAGCCCCCUGGGUCAAAACUGACGCUCAUGCACGAAAGCGUGGGGAGCAAACAGG